rnacentral:rRNA from 1 species
GGACGAACGCUGGCGGCGUGCCUAAUACAUGCAAGUCGGGCGAACGGACGAGAAGCUUGCUUCUCUGAUGUUAGCGGCGGACGGGUGAGUAACACGUGGAUAACCUACCUAUAAGACUGGGAUAACUUCGGGAAACCGGAGCUAAUACCGGAUGAUAUUUUGAACCGCAUGGUUCAAAAGUGAAAGACGGUCUUGCUGUCACUUAUAGAUGGAUCCGCGCUGCAUUAGCUAGUUGGUAAGGUAACGGCUUACCAAGGCAACGAUGCAUAGCCGACCUGAGAGGGUGAUCGGCCACACUGGAACUGAGACACGGUCCAGACUCCUACGGGAGGCAGCAGUAGGGAAUCUUCCGCAAUGGGCGAAAGCCUGACGGAGCAACGCCGCGUGAGUGAUGAAGGUCUUCGGAUCGUAAAACUCUGUUAUUAGGGAAGAACAUAUGUGUAAGUAACUGUGCACAUCUUGACGGUACCUAAUCAGAAAGCCACGGCUAACUACGUG